AAAACAAAACGAAAGGCGUGCAUCGAGGCGAAACCCUUCGCGCAUUUCCACAGACACGCACCCAAGCGCCUACGCCCCAACUGCGUAAUACCACUAACAAGCGCUGUCAUUCAAACAUAUUGUUAGCUCCACUUUCUCGUUUGUUUCGCAGCAGUUUUUUUUUUCUUUUUGUGCCGGCCGAAAUCAUGGAGCAGGCGUUGAUUGAGGCGGCCAUUCUCAAGGCGCUGUCGAGUGCCGAGCGAGUGCUCUCGACGGAUGUGGCAGACUCGAUUAGGGCCGACCACCAGGACAUCGUGGGCGCCGGCAAGUCCCUGGAGGCGGACAACUACAUCCGAUCGGAAAUGGAGCAAAGGAUGGUUCUGAGGCUCUCCAACGAGGCUCAGCAGAUCAUGGAGAGCGGCAGCCCCGAGUACCUGGUCUGGUGUCUGCUACAGGACGGAAGGAUAAGCCAGGAGGAUGUAGCAGCCAAACUUGGCAAAGAGGCGACGGCGGUGGCGCUGACCAACGGCAUCAAGUCGAAGAUGUUCAAGACGAUAAAGGAGAAUGGGAAGGUGUUCCUGGAGCGUGUGCCGCGCAGCGACAACGUUGUCGAUGCCGUUCGUGAGUCGCUGAAGCAGGCUGCCGCCGCGGCGGACGAGGUCGACACCAAGACGCUGGAAACGCUCAAGAAGCGCAAACUCGCUGCGAUGGAGGCGAAAAAGGUGUUUGUGUACACGAAGGGUGCCGCGUACGCUCCGGAGCGCGCCGCUAAGGCCGUGGGUGACCUGACACGCGAGAUGCUCGUCGACGGUUCUUGGAAGAACCGGCAGUUCAAGGAGUACAACUUUUCCGCACAGGGUGCCGAGGUGGGUGGCGGUGCACUGCACCCGCUGUUGAAGGUGCGGCAGGAGUUCCGCGAGAUCCUCAUGGAGCUCGGCUUCCAGGAGAUGGACACGCAGCAUUGGGCCGAGGUGUCGUUCUGGAACUUCGACUCACUCAUCAUUCCUCAGCAGCAUCCGGCGCGGGAUCUGCAGGACACCUUCUUCCUGUCGAAGCCGGAGACUUCGAAGGUUAACGAUUUGGAGUACGUGGCGCGCGUCAAGGCGCAGCAUGAGGAGAGCUUCCGUACGCCGUGGAAGCUUGAGGAGGCGAGCCGCAAUGUGCUGCGCACUCACACCACCGGCUCCUCGGCCUUCGUGCUGAAAAAUCUCGCCAAAUUUGCGAUCCGUGGCCCGGAUGGCAAGCUGCACUUCAGCCCCGGGCGCUACUAUAGCAUUGACCGCGUCUUCCGCAACGAGGAGAUGGACCGCACCCACCUGUGCGAGUUCCACCAGGUCGAGGGCUUCGUCAUUGACCGCGACAUUUCGCUUGCCAAGAUGAUGCACACCUUUGACUCCUUCUUCCGUCGCAUUGGCGUGUCGCAGCUGCGCUUCAAGCCCGCCUUCAACCCGUACACGGAGCCUUCGAUGGAGAUCUUUGGCUUCCACACCGGCCUGAACAAGUGGAUCGAGGUGGGCAACAGCGGUCUCUUCCGCCCAGAGCUGCUGCGUCCGAUGGGCUUCGAGGACGGCGUGACGGUGAUGGCUUGGGGCCUCUCGCUGGAGCGGCCGACAAUGAUUAAGUACGGUAUCAACAAUAUUCACGAGCUCUUUGGCCAUCGCGUUGACAUCCGCUUCAUCAAGCGCGCCGCGAUUGCCCGCUACUAGGCGUGAGCGAGGAUGUUGGGCGAAAAAAGUAAUGCGGCGUUCCCGGUGCUGGAGGCGCGUGUAGUCUUCACUGGUGGGGUGGGUGCUGGCUGCCCCUUCGGCUGUCUUUUUUUAAGGAAUCUCCGCUCUCCCCAUCUCUCCUGCGUACUGCAUUUUUUUUUUCGCCUCCCUGCAUAAUCUCUUCUUCCCCUUGCGACGUGUCAGAAUUGUCGAGCAGACGUGCAGUCGUGGGUUGCAGCAACGAAGCACCGCUUUCCACGUAAGCGCGUCUUCUGACCCCGCGGAGUACCACCCCAGCCCCUCCUGCUGCCCUCUCUCCACCCUGGAAGGAGGCGCUCGUGUGUGUGUGUGUGUGUACAAGCCGUGGUGCGCGCGCAGUUUAUCCACUGGUUCAAUCAAUGUUUUUGGUUGUUUGGUUUGGCGCUCUCGUGUUGGCCGUGUGCCGUGUUUUUUUUUUUCGUGUGUGUGCGUGCAUACAGGCGGUUGCUUUCAAUGUGGUAAAGGGGCAAGAAGAGAAAGUCAUGCCGAACCCCCACCUUCUCUCCGAAGAGGAGAGGCAGAGAGACAGCAGACGAGGCCGCGCCUAUGAAUGAUGUGCGUGGCUAUCGUCUGUGUCCCCCCCCCUCCCACACACACUUCUCUUAUUUGCUUUCUUUGACAGGACAUGCGUCCUCCCGAAGCCCUCUCGUCGUGUGCGAGCGUGAGAUGGAGCGCAUUCGGGACGCAACACAGAGGGGACUGCGGGGAGUGGGGAACUGUGAUCCAUGUGGAAGGGUGUGCAGGUGCAAAGGGUUGGUAACGAUCGCUACUUUUCUCUCUCUGCCUUCUUGCCAUCCUUGCCGCUGCGGUGGUGGUGUGGUGGUGCGCAGGGUGAUGCUCACGUGCCCGCCCUCUCUUAAACCCCCUCCUUCACACACGCCAUGGCGAUAAUGGUUGCGUCUGUGUGGAUAUGUGACAAAUCCGCUUUCUCGCCUGAUUCUUUUUCGUGGCGUAUAUCUGUUGUGUGUCUCUUUCUCGGGUUCGUGACAACGUGCCCCCCUCUCCCUGGGGGAGAUGACGCUUCUACGUUUGUUAAGGCUGGCUCGUGUACUUAAUGGAUCAGAGUAUGCCUCCGUGUGUUCCGUGAACAGCGAGAUCAAGGGAAAACGGAAAGGUCUCCUAACGACCGAAAAAAAAAAGAAGCGGGACUAAGAUGACAGGGUUGACGAAGGGCGUUCGGCUCACGUAUUCCGUAUAGCGUGGCGAGGCAGUCACCGGGAAAGUCGAGGGUGAACUGUCUGGUGGGGGGUGGGAGAGGGAUACGAGAGUAGGAAUGGAGUGUGGAAGCGUGGGAGGAAAGGUAGAAAGACCACGUGUACUGUACAUUCAGUUGGGCACAAGCACCUACCAAGCGGCAUGAACGACAUGCGCCGUGCCACUCAGCUCUUCUUUGCUGUCAGUACGUCUUCUUUCCCCUCCCCACACUCGCCGCUACCCCGCCUCAGCGGCGUAGCGAUGCGUUGCUGCAGCAUAACUGCUUCUUGUCUCACAUGUGCCGCGCCAACUUGCGGAGCAGAGCGUCCACGUUUGUGUGUGCCACCUUUUCCUUCCUUCCUCUCACCCUGCAUCUCUCUGCUCUUCUUGCACUGCUUUCGAUCCACCCCCUUUUCCCUCCCCUCUCUCACGCGUCCGCGCUUCCCCGGGCUUUACAUGUUUUCUGUGCCUCAUUUCCUCGUGGGAACAUCGGUGGCUAACCACUCCUCCCGCUUCGUCAACCAUAUCAAAAUAAUCGAACACACAUGCACUGUGCCUCCUCGUCCCCUGCUGGCGCUAUCCCACUCCCGCCCACGUGCCUGCGUUCGUGCGCGUCUCUUUCUUUAUUUGCCUAACGCUGCUGCGGCUUCAAUAAUCGCCGUGCAG
rnacentral:misc_RNA from 1 species